UGCAAGCAAUGUGGAAGUGA
rnacentral:miRNA from 1 species